AAAAGAAACCAACAGGGAUUGCCCCAGUAACGGCGAGUGAAGCGGCAACAGCUCAAAUUUGAAAUCUGGCUCUCAGGGCCCGAGUUGUAAUUUGUAGAGGAUGCUUUUGGCGAGGUGCCUUCCGAGUUCCCUGGAACGGGACGCCACAGAGGGUGAGAGCCCCGUAUGGUCGGACACCGAGCCUCUGUAAAGCUCCUUCGACGAGUCGAGUAGUUUGGGAAUGCUGCUCAAAAUGGGAGGUAUAUGUCUUCUAAAGCUAAAUAUUGGCCAGAGACCGAUAGCGCACAAGUAGAGUGAUCGAAAGAUGAAAAGCACUUUGAAAAGAGGGUUAAAAAGUACGUGAAAUUGUUGAAAGGGAAGCGCCUAUGACCAGACUUGCGCCCGGUGAAUCACCCAGCGUUCUCGCUGGUGCACUUUGCCGGGCACAGGCCAGCAUCAGUUCAGCGCGGGGGAGAAAGGCUUCGGGAAUGUGGCUCCCUCGGGAGUGUUAUAGCCCGCUGCGUAAUGCCCUGCGCCGGACUGAGGUACGCGCAUUGCAAGGAUGCUGGCGUAAUGGUCAUCAGCGACCCGUCUUGAAACACGGACCAAGGAGUCGUCUUCGUAUGCGAGUGUUCGGGUGUCAAACCCCUACGCGUAAUGAAAGUGAACGCAGGUGAGAGCUUCGGCGCAUCACCGACCGAUCCUGAUGUUCUCGGAUGGAUUUGAGUAAGAGCAUACGGGGCCGGACCCGAAAGAAGGUGAACUAUGCCUGUAUAGGGUGAAGCCAGAGGAAACUCUGGUGGAGGCUCGCAGCGGUUCUGACGUGCGAAUCGAUCGUCAAAUAUGGGCAUGGGGGCGAAAGACUAAUCGA
rnacentral:rRNA from 1 species